GAUGAAGAACGUAGCGAAAUGCGAUAAGUAAUGUGAAUUGCAGAAUUCCGUGAAUCAUCGAAUCUUUGAACGCACAUUGCGCCCCCUGGCAUUCCGGGGGGCAUGCCUGUCCGAGCGUCAUUUCUGCCCUCAAGCACGGCUUGUGUGUUGGGUGUGGUCCCCCCGGGGACCUGCCCGAAAGGCAGCGGCGACGUCCGUCUGGUCCUCGAGCGUAUGGGGCUCUGUCACUCGCUCGGGAAGGACCUGCGGGGGUUGGUCACCACCAUGUUUUACCACGGUUGACCUCGGAUCAGGUAGGAGUUACCCGCUGAACUUAAGCAUAUCAAUAAGCGGAGGU
rnacentral:misc_RNA from 1 species